ACAUAUUGUUAGACGUUUUAGCUAUUUCAGUAUUUCAGUGUAUCCAUACUUGAUAUUUAUUUUAGACUUAUAGUUAUUUAAAUUAGUUUAGCUUCUGCUUAAUUUAUAUUUAUAAAUUCCCUAGUGUCAUGUCAGGCUAUGGGAGCUAGGGGUCUCUUAGGAUUCUAAGCACUGUGUUAUGUCCAGGUUGUAGACUUGAGUCAUGCCAUAAGAGCUCUGACAGUGCCC
rnacentral:lncRNA from 1 species